rnacentral:misc_RNA from 1 species
AAAUGCGAUAAGUAAUGUGAAUUGCGGAAUUCAGUGAAUCAUCGAAUCUUUGAACGCACCUUGCGCUCCUUGGUAUUCCUUGGAGCAUGCCUGUUUGAGUAUCAUGAAAUCUUCAAAGUAAAUCUUUUGUUAACUCAAUUGGUUUCUACUUUGGUAUUGGAGGUCUUUGCAGCUUCACACCUGCUCCUCUUUGUUCAUUAGCUGGAUCUCAGUGUUAUGCUUGGUUCCACUCGGCGUGAUAAGUUAUCUAUCGCUGAGGACACUGUAAAAGGUGGCCAAGGUAAAUGCAGAUGAACCGCUUCUAAUAGUCCAUUGACUUGGACAAUACUUUUAUGAUCUGAUCUCAAAUCAGGUAGGACUACCCGCUGAACUUAAGC